rnacentral:misc_RNA from 1 species
GGGAAGAAGAAAUGCAAGAACUGAACAGAGAUACCAGCUAUAAAUUGGCUUGGAUGACUGGUCUAUCAAUUCUUAUAUGCUUGUCUGUGGCAGGUUUGCAAAUGUGGCACUUGAAGACUUUCUUUGAAAAGAAGAAGCUUAUAUAAAUUAUUCUGAUUUCAAAAUUCACAGUUUCUCUGCUGUACAAUUUUUUUUGGCAUACACAACUUAGUCGAAAAUUGACUCAAAUGUGUAAUAUUUUUAGACUAUUUAUUUG